UACGUAGGGCGCAAGCGUUGUUCGGAAUUAUUGGGCGUAAAGAGCUCGUAGGCGGCUUGUCACGUCGGAUGUGAAAGCCCGAGGCUUAACCUCGGGUCUGCAUUCGAUACGGGCUAGCUAGAGUGUGGUAGGGGAGAUCGGAAUUCCUGGUGUAGCGGUGAAAUGCGCAGAUAUCAGGAGGAACACCGGUGGCGAAGGCGGAUCUCUGGGCCAUUACUGACGCUGAGGAGCGAAAGCGUGGGGAGCGAACAGG
rnacentral:rRNA from 1 species